CUACGGGACGCUGCAGUCACGAAACUUUUACAAUGCACGAAAGUGUGAUAAAGCAAGCCAAAGUGCUAUUCUCUUUGAAUAGCUUUUUUUCAAUGUAAAAACUUGGAAGAAUAAGGACUGGGAAAGACCGGUGCCAGCCGCCGCGGUAAUACCGGCAGUUCAAGUUGCAUCCAGUUUUAUUGGGUCUAAAACAUCCGUAGCUUGGAACUUAAGUCUCUUGUGAAAUCUCACGUCUUAAGCGUGAUGAAGUGCAGGAGAUACUGGGUUCCUAGAGAUCGGUAGACGUAAGAAGUACGCGACGGGUAACGGUCAAAUGUGUUAAUCCGUCGUGGACUAACAAUCAGUGAAGGCAUCUUACGAGGACGAAUCUGACAGUGAGGGAUGAAGGCCAGGGGCGCAAAACGGAUUAGAUACCCUGGUAGUC
rnacentral:rRNA from 1 species